UCGCUGAUCGGCUUGUUGCAUGUGGCACUUAUAAAUUUAGCUGGAUCUGUUUGAUUUAUGCAGAAUUAAAGGAUAACUUAGAAAACCUCAUUGUGGCAGUGUAAACCUGAAUGUGGAUUUUACUCAUGAUAGUUUUUCUGACAAGUAUU